rnacentral:rRNA from 1 species
CGGCGAAAGCCGGAUUAAUACCGCAUACGAUCUGUGGAUGAAAGCGGGGGAUCUUAGGACCUCGCGCUAACAGGGGCGGCCGAUGGCAGAUUAGCUAGUUGGUGGGGUAAAGGCCUACCAAGGCGACGAUCUGUAGCUGGUCUGAGAGGACGACCAGCCACACUGGGACUGAGACACGGCCCAGACUCCUACGGGAGGCAGCAGUGGGGAAUUUUGGACAAUGGGCGCAAGCCUGAUCCAGCAAUGCCGCGUGUGUGAAGAAGGCCUUCGGGUUGUAAAGCACUUUUGUCCGGAAAGAAAACCUCGUGGCUAAUACCUAUGGGGGAUGACGGUACCGGAAGAAUAAGCACC